rnacentral:sRNA from 1 species
GUUACAGCAAAAUCUGUGACCAGGCGUGGAAACCUGUUACUCAACGAACUAAAGAGUCGCUUUUAGUGGCUCUUUU